rnacentral:rRNA from 1 species
UUCUUUAAGAAAAUAAUUUAAAGUAAAACCUGCUCAAUGAAAAUUAAAUAGCCGCAGAAUUCUGUGCUAAGGUAGCAUAAUCACUAGCUUUAUAAUUAAAAGAUAGAAUGAAUGGUUAAACGAAAGAUUCAUUGUUUCUUUUACUUUAAACGAAAUUAAAUAUAAAGUCAAAAUUCUUUUAAAAAUCAGAAAGACGAUAAGACCCUAAAAACUCAAAUAUUUAGCUGGGGCGGCAAAUUAAUGAAUACUUAACCUUUAAUAAAAACAAAACAAAUAAAUUUUUCAAAGAAAAGUUACUUUAGGGAUAACAGCGCUACUUUUUUUUAAAGUUCUAAUAAAAAAAAUUCCUACGACCUCGAUGUUGAAUUAUAAAUCUGACAUUUAGAUGCAAAAGUCAAGCAAGAUAGUCUGUUCGACUAAUAAUUAUAU